rnacentral:rRNA from 1 species
UCCCAGUUUUGUAGCAAUACCGAGCUGGGGGAAGUGGCGAAAGGGGCAGUAAGGCGUGGGUAACCUACCCUGGGGACGUGGAUAGCCGUUCUAACGGACGGGUAAUACGCGGCGAUUCGGCGAGGUGGCAUCACUUUGCCGGGAUAUGAAUUUCGCCUCGGGAGGGGCUCAUGUGAUAUUAGCUAGUUGGCGGGGUAACGGCCCACCAAGGCGAAGAUGUCUAGCGGGUGUGAGAGCACGACCCGCGCCACUGGCACUGAGACACUGGCCAGACACCUACGGGUGGCUGCAGUCGAGGAUCUUCGGCAAUGGGCGCAAGCCUGACCGAGCGACGCCGCGUGUGCGAUGAAGGCCUUCGGGUUGUAAAGCACUGUCGAGGGGGAUAAAGCCGCAAGGUUGAUAGAUCCCUGGAGGAAGCACGGGCUAAGUUCGUGCCAGCAGCCGCGGUAAGACGAACCGUGCGAACGUUGUUCGGAAUCACUGGGCUUAAAGGGCGCGUAGGCGGCGAAUCAAGUCCGGGGUGAAAGCCCCCAGCUCAACUGGGGAAGUGCCUUGGAAACUGAUUCGCUCGAGGGAGGUAGGGGCAGAGGGAACUUCUGGUGGAGCGGUGAAAUGCGUUGAUAUCAGAAGGAACGCCGGUGGCGAAAGCGCUCUGCUGGAUCUCUACUGACGCUGAGGCGCGAAAGCUAGGGGAGCAAACGGGAUUAGAUACCCCGGUAGUCCUAGCCCUAAACGAUGGGUACUAGAUUGUGGACUAGUCAUGGGUUCACAGUCGAAGCAAAAGUGUUAAGUACCCCGCCUGGGGAGUAUGGU